GGCUGUAGUUUGAACCUCGAGCAGAACAGAUCGAGACAGCUGUGCUUCUCUGAUGUUAGCGGCGGACGGGUGAGUAACACGUGGGUAACCUACCUAUAAGACUGGGAUAACUCCGGGAAACCGGGGCUAAUACCGGAUAAUAUUUUGAACCGCAUGGUUCAAUAGUGAAAGACGGUUUCGGCUGUCACUUAUAGAUGGACCCGCGCCGUAUUAGCUAGUUGGUAAGGUAACGGCUUACCAAGGCGACGAUACGUAGCCGACCUGAGAGGGUGAUCGGCCACACUGGAACUGAGACACGGUCCAGACUCCUACGGGAGGCAGCAGUAGGGAAUCUUCCGCAAUGGGCGAAAGCCUGACGGAGCAACGCCGCGUGAGUGAUGAAGGUCUUCGGAUCGUAAAACUCUGUUGUUAGGGAAGAACAAAUUUGUUAGUAACUGAACAAGUCUUGACGGUACCUAACCAGAAAGCCACGGCUAACUACGUGCCAGCAGCCGCGGUAAUACGUAGGUGGCAAGCGUUAUCCGGAAUUAUUGGGCGUAAAGCGCGCGUAGGCGGUUUCUUAAGUCUGAUGUGAAAGCCCACGGCUCAACCGUGGAGGGUCAUUGGAAACUGGGAAACUUGAGUGCAGAAGAGGAGAGUGGAAUUCCAUGUGUAGCGGUGAAAUGCGCAGAGAUAUGGAGGAACACCAGUGGCGAAGGCGGCUCUCUGGUCUGUAACUGACGCUGAUGUGCGAAAGCGUGGGGAUCAAACAGGAUUAGAUACCCUGGUAGUCCACGCCGUAAACGAUGAGUGCUAAUUGUUAGGGGGUUUCCGCCCCUUAGUGCUGCAGCUAACGCAUUAAGCACUCCGCCUGGGGAGUACGACACCAGGUUGGAACU
rnacentral:rRNA from 1 species